UUAAGCGACUAAGCGUACACGGUGGAUGCCUAGGCAGUCAGAGGCGAUGAAGGGCGUGCUAAUCUGCGAAAAGCGUCGGUAAGCUGAUAUGAAGCGUUAUAACCGACGAUACCCGAAUGGGGAAACCCAGUGCAAUACGUUGCACUAUCGUUAGAUGAAUACAUAGUCUAACGAGGCGAACCGGGGGAACUGAAACAUCUAAGUACCCCGAGGAAAAGAAAUCAACCGAGAUUCCCCCAGUAGCGGCGAGCGAACGGGGAGGAGCCCAGAGUCUGAAUCAGUUUGUGUGUUAGUGGAAGCGUCUGGAAAGUCGCACGGUACAGGGUGAUAGUCCCGUACACCAAAAUGCACAGGCUGUGAACUCGAUGAGUAGGGCGGGACACGUGACAUCCUGUCUGAAUAUGGGGGGACCAUCCUCCAAGGCUAAAUACUCCUGACUGACCGAUAGUGAACCAGUACCGUGAGGGAAAGGCGAAAAGAACCCCGGCGAGGGGAGUGAAAUAGAACCUGAAACCGUGUACGUACAAGCAGUGGGAGCACCUUCGUGGUGUGACUGCGUACCUUUUGUAUAAUGGGUCAGCGACUUAUAUUUUGUAGCUAAGGUUAACCGAAUAGGGGAGCCGUAGGGAAACCGAGUCUUAACUGGGCGUCUAGUUGCAAGGUAUAGACCCGAAACCCGGUGAUCUAGCCAUGGGCAGGUUGAAGGUUGGGUAACACUAACUGGAGGACCGAACCGACUAAUGUUGAAAAAUUAGCGGAUGACUUGUGGCUGGGGGUGAAAGGCCAAUCAAACCGGGAGAUAGCUGGUUCUCCCCGAAAGCUAUUUAGGUAGCGCCUCGUGAACUCAUCUUCGGGGGUAGAGCACUGUUUCGGCUAGGGGGCCAUCCCGGCUUACCAAACCGAUGCAAACUCCGAAUACCGAAGAAUGUUAUCACGGGAGACACACGGCGGGUGCUAACGUCCGUCGUGAAGAGGGAAACAACCCAGACCGCCAGCUAAGGUCCCAAAGUCAUGGUUAAGUGGGAAACGAUGUGGGAAGGCACAGACAGCCAGGAUGUUGGCUUAGAAGCAGCCAUCAUUUAAAGAAAGCGUAAUAGCUCACUGGUCGAGUCGGCCUGCGCGGAAGAUGUAACGGGGCUAAACCAUGCACCGAAGCUGCGGCAGCGACACUUAGGUGUUGUUGGGUAGGGGAGCGUUCUGUAAGCCGUUGAAGGUGACCUGUGAGGGUUGCUGGAGGUAUCAGAAGUGCGAAUGCUGACAUAAGUAACGAUAAUGCGGGUGAAAAACCCGCACGCCGGAAGACCAAGGGUUCCUGUCCAACGUUAAUCGGGGCAGGGUGAGUCGACCCCUAAGGCGAGGCUGAAAAGCGUAGUCGAUGGGAAACAGGUUAAUAUUCCUGUACUUGGUGUUACUGCGAAGGGGGGACGGAGAAGGCUAGGCUGGCCGGGCGACGGUUGUCCCGGUUUAAGCGUGUAGGGGGAGUGACCAGGUAAAUCCGGUUGCUUAUCAACCCUGAGGCGUGAUGACGAUGCACCACGGUGCAGAAGCAGUUGAUGCCAUGCUUCCAGGAAAAGCCUCUAAGCAUCAGGUAACAUUAAAUCGUACCCCAAACCGACACAGGUGGUCAGGUAGAGAAUACUCAGGCGCUUGAGAGAACUCGGGUGAAGGAACUAGGCAAAAUGGUGCCGUAACUUCGGGAGAAGGCACGCUGGCGUUAGGUGAAAGGACUAGCUCCUGGAGCUGAAGCCAGUCGCAGAUACCAGCUGGCUGCAACUGUUUAAUAAAAACACAGCACUGUGCAAACACGAAAGUGGACGUAUACGGUGUGACGCCUGCCCGGUGCUGGAAGGUUAAUUGAUGGGGUCAGCCGCAAGGCGAAGCUCUUGAUCGAAGCCCCAGUAAACGGCGGCCGUAACUAUAACGGUCCUAAGGUAGCGAAAUUCCUUGUCGGGUAAGUUCCGACCUGCACGAAUGGCGUAAUGAUGGCCAGGCUGUCUCCACCCGAGACUCAGUGAAAUUGAACUCGCUGUGAAGAUGCAGUGUACCCGCGGCAAGACGGAAAGACCCCGUGAACCUUUACUAUAGCUUGACACUGAACAUUGAGCCUUGAUGUGUAGGAUAGGUGGGAGGCCUUGAAGUGUGGACGCCAGUCUGCAUGGAGCCAACCUUGAAAUACCACCCUUUAAUGUUUGAUGUUCUAACUCGGCCCCAUGAUCUGGGGUGAGGACAGUGUCUGGUGGGUAGUUUGACUGGGGCGGUCUCCUCCCAAAGAGUAACGGAGGAGCACGAAGGUUAGCUAAUCACGGUCGGACAUCGUGAGGUUAGUGCAAAGGCAUAAGCUAGCUUGACUGCGAGAGUGACGGCUCGAGCAGGUACGAAAGUAGGUCUUAGUGAUCCGGUGGUUCUGAAUGGAAGGGCCAUCGCUCAACGGAUAAAAGGUACUCCGGGGAUAACAGGCUGAUACCGCCCAAGAGUUCAUAUCGACGGCGGUGUUUGGCACCUCGAUGUCGGCUCAUCACAUCCUGGGGCUGAAGUAGGUCCCAAGGGUAUGGCUGUUCGCCAUUUAAAGUGGUACGCGAGCUGGGUUUAGAACGUCGUGAGACAGUUCGGUCCCUAUCUGCCGUGGGCGUUGGAAGAUUGAGAGGGGCUGCUCCUAGUACGAGAGGACCGGAGUGGACGAAUCACUGGUGUUCGGGUUGUCAUGCCAAUGGCAUUGCCCGGUAGCUAAAUUCGGAAGAGAUAACCGCUGAAAGCAUCUAAGCGGGAAACUUGCCUCGAGAUGAGUCUUCCCUGGGGCUUAAAGCCCCCUGAAGGAACGUUAAAGACUAUGACGUUGAUAGGCUGGGUGUGUAAGUGCAGCGAUGUAUUGAGCUAACCAGUACUAAUGAUCCGUGAGGCUUAACCUU
rnacentral:rRNA from 1 species